AUUUCAGAGAGCGCGCAGGCUGAGGCCGGGCUCUGGUGGGCUCCGGGCCGCCUCUGUGGGGCCUCCCUCUGCUGCCCUCUGCUGGCAGGGGAGGCGGAGGCACCUUCCUCUCAGCCUGGCCGGGAGCGGCCGCCCCCUCCCCUUUGAGCCGGAGGGAAGCUGAGGUCCCUGCCCCCUUCCUGCUCCUUUCCUGAAGAAUCACAGGUUGGGGUGGGGCAGCUGUACGUUUUGAGAAAGCGCUGCGCCCCAGGAGGAGGGGGGUCUAUUUAUCGAAGAGCAUACUCCCCCACUCCCCAAGGCGGGCACAUCAUGCCAGCCCUUCUGGUCCCCUAAUCCCAGAUCCUCCCUCUGCACAACAUCCUCUGGGAGAGGACCGGCGGCCAGAAUGCGGCAGGUUUCUGACAUUGUUUUCUUCUUGAAAAUGGAAACCCUCCUUCCGGCAACGUGGCAGUAAAGCACUGGGCAGCUGGGCCAAGAACGCUUGGGGUGUUUCUCUCGCAUCAUAUGGAACCUGUGUGCAAUGGAAGCAUCCUGAAAAGGAAAGACAGAAAGCAGAUCCCUGGUGCUGGUUCCCCCUCCUUCGGAUCUGGCUUCUGCUCCUGUGAAGAACCACUUCUUUGACCAUCCUUCUCUGCUCUAAUGGCUUGUCUUCACCCACCGAGGACUUGAUAGGAACCAUCUACAUCAGAAUUACCUCAGAGGCUUGUUAAAAAUGCAAAUUCCCAGGGACAGACGGGGAGUUCAAAAUUUGUAGAUGCUGACAGGCAUAUGUAGAAUAGAUAAACAAGAUUAUACUGUAUAGCACAGGGAAAUACAUACAAG